rnacentral:lncRNA from 1 species
UAAACUUCCUCUCUCUCCUUUUCUCUCUCUUCAUUCAUCUGAUCUGUCUUCAAUCAAUGGAAUUUUUGGCAAAAAGUAAACCAUGCUCCAUGCUCCAUGCUCCAUGAAAUUGAUGCUAAUUGUCAUGGAUUUGAUCUUCGUCCCGAGUAUACGGACCAACUUUGCCCAACAAAAAACUCACUGUGUGCAUUAAACCAUCAUCAGAUCUGGGCUGCUGGAAAAUGAAAGGAGCCGGAAACCAAAACUCUUUGUUUACCGUUGAUGACAAUAGCCAGAUGAUUGUAGGUGCCUUGGCUCCAAACGUCGUUCUUACAAAAUUUUUGAGCAAAAACAACACCAAAUAAUUAAAAGCUUUGUUCCUCUUAUUGUAAGAACUAACCGGUUUCUUUCUCUAAAUUUUCAAAUCCAAAAUUAAUUACAAAAAAUUCAAUUUCUCAAAAUUAAUUCCAAUCCAAAUCUAAAUCCAAAAUAAUACGAAAUCAAAACUUAAACUCCAACAACCCAUAUCCAAAUAAACCUAAAUUCAUAUCUGAAAAAAAUGCAAUUGAAGUAGAGAUUGAAAACCGAGCUCGAUUGGAGAAGGGGGAAGAGAGAGAAAACUCGAUGAAAGGGACAAUGAUUACAAGAAAUAACUCCUAAUGCUCUUAUUUGGCUCCAUUUUUUCCGUCAAUGGACAGUAUUUUUAGGGAGGGAGAAAGUGUACCUUGGGUGAUAAAGUAACAGAGGGUGUACCUUCAAAUUGCGCAAGAACUUCGACGAACAGAGGGUGUUAAUGGUUGUUUGAGACUUUGGUUGAUUAAAUUUUUUGGAUUGAAGUUUAAUAAUCCAUAUAUAUGAAUGUGUUUUUAGGCUUUUGAUAUUGUUUCAAAUGUUUUAAUUUUUU